rnacentral:rRNA from 1 species
UACGUAGGGGGCAAGCGUUGUCCGGAUUUAUUGGGCGUAAAGAGCGUGUAGGCGGUUUGGUAGGUCCGCUGUGAAAACUCGAGGCUCAACCUCGAGACGCCGGUGGAAACCAUCAGGCUAGAGUCCGGAAGAGGAGAGUGGAAUUCCUGGUGUAGCGGUGAAAUGCGUAGAUAUCAGGAGGAACACCUAUGGCGAAAGCAGGCUUCUGGACCGUCACUGACGCUGAUCUGCGAAAGCUAGGGGAGCAAACAGG